rfam:Populus trichocarpa scaffold_2_contig_49, whole genome shotgun sequence.
UAAUUUGUAUAAGGCAAAUUCUUAUCUAGUUUUGGCAAACUCAUAUCUUACUGUUCAAAAUCAUUCGUUAUCGCAAGCCUGACUACAUCAUUGACACUAUGUAAACAAUAAUUUUUUAAGAUUUUAAUUGGAGU